GUGAAUUGCAGAAUCCCGUGAACCAUCGAGUCUUUGAACGCAAGUUGCGCCCGAUGCCAUUAGGUUGAGGGCACGUCUGCCUGGGUGUCACAUAUCGAAGCCUCCUGCCAAUUUCCUUUUGAUAGGUAUUGUGCAUGCUGGUGAAUGUUGGCCUCCCGUGAGCUCUAUUGUCUCAUGGUUGGUUGAAAAUCGAGACCUUGGUAGGGUGUGCCAUGAUAGAUGGUGGUUGUGUGACCCACGAGAAACCAAGAUCAUGUGCUGCCCUAUUCAAUUCGGCCUCUUUUACCCAUAUGCGUUUUGUAAACGCUCGUGAUGAGACCUCAGGUCAGGCGGGGCUACCCGCUGAAUUUAAGCAUAUCAAUAAGCGGAGGAAAAGAAACUAACAAGGAUUCCCUUAGUAACGGCGAGCGAACCGGGAUAAGCCCACCAUGAAAAUCGGUCGCCUUCGGCGUUCGAAUUGU
rnacentral:misc_RNA from 1 species